UGGCGACCGGCGCACGGGUGCGUAAUGCGUAUGCAACCUACCUGUAACAGGGGGAUAACACUGAGAAAUCGGUACUAAUACCGCAUAACACUAUGAGAGGCAUCUCUUGUGGUUGAAAGUUUCGGCGGUUACAGAUGGGCAUGCGUUGUAUUAGCUGGUUGGUAAGGUAACGGCUUACCAAGGCGACGAUACAUAGGGGGACUGAGAGGUUAACCCCCCACAUUGGUACUGAGACACGGACCAAACUCCUACGGAAGGCAGCAG
rnacentral:rRNA from 1 species